ACCACGUUAGUGUCACCCACACAGGA
rnacentral:piRNA from 1 species